rnacentral:lncRNA from 1 species
GGAUGCUAGUAAGCACACAACUGAGCAUAUGAGGAUGCUGGAACUCUGAUGCUGGACUACUUCUUUUGUCCUCUAACUACAGCCUUCCCUGCGAGCUUUAGAGGUCGACUACCACACCCUUCUGUGGCAGUAGAAAGAACACAAAAACCAGAGGAUGGAGAGGAACAGUGUGUGACACGCAAUGUUGAAUGUGUGACCUUGCAGCAUCUGUGGCUACCACACAAGACCUUUUCAAGAUGGGAUGCAUCAACCUUCCACAGUGGAUGAAAAAGAGGCUUAUGAGGUCUCUCUUCUCCACGAGGAACUGUGGACAGGAUGGCAGCCAUGAGGAAGACAAACAACAGAUGCCAGUGAGAGGAGACGGAAAGGAAACUCUCAAACAUCAUGGUGGGCGCGUAAAUUAUUCUGGCUCUACGAACAUCAGAGUGGAGAUUUAUCAAAGA